rnacentral:rRNA from 1 species
GGGGAAUUUUCCGCAAUGGGCGCAAUCCUGACGGAGCAAGACCGCGUGAGGGAGGAAGGCUCUUGGGUUGUAAACCUCUUUUCUUGGGGAAUAAAAAAAUGAAGGUACCCAAGGAAUCAGCAUCGGCUAACUCCGUGCCAGCAGCCGCGGUAAUACGGAGGAUGCAAGCGUUAUCCGGAAUUAUUGGGCGUAAAGCGUCCGCAGGUGGCACUUCAAGUCUGCUGUCAAAGACCGGGGCUUAACCCUGGAAAGGCAGUGGAAACUGAAGCGCUAGAGUGUCGUAGGGGUAGAGGGAAUUCCUGGUGUAGCGGUGAAAUGCGUAGAGAUCAGGAAGAACAUCGGUGGCGAAAGCGCUCUACUGGACGACAACUGACACUCAGGGACGAAAGCUAGGGGAGCGAAUGGGAUUAGAUACCCCAGUAGUCCUAGCCGUAAACGAUGGAUACUAGGUGUGGCUUGUAUCGACCCGAGCCGUGCCGUAGCUAACGCGUUAAGUAUCC